AAUAAAUCCUGAAUUUCUAUUUCAAUGUCCAACGUUUGACUGUACGUCUUAUAUGAAAUUAUUUUUAUAAUUAGUAUUUUCAUUGUUGUUAGAUGAUAAAAUAUGAUUAAUAUUUUAUACGUAACUUGUCUUUUUAAUUAUUUUUAUAAUUUUUUUAAAUAAGACGGACGGUCAAACGUUGAACACGGAAACCCAUGGUUUGUCUUUUU
rfam:Oryza sativa (indica cultivar-group) chromosome 1, whole genome shotgun sequence.